AACGAACGCUGGCGGCAUGCCUAACACAUGCAAGUCGAACGGGACCUUCCGGUCUUGUGGCGCACGGGUGCGUACCGCGUGGGAACCUGCCCUUGGGUUACGAAUAAUUCACCGUAAGGGAUGCUAAUGCCGGUUAAUCUCUUCCGAGCAAAGAUGUCUUGCUUUUGGAUGGGGGCGCGUUGGAUUCGCUGGUUGGUAGGGUAAAAGCCUGCCAACGCGACGAUCCAUAGCUGGUCGGUGAGGAGGACCAGCCACACUGGAGCUGAGACACGGCCCAGACUCCUACGGGAGGGAGCAGUGGGGAAUAUUGGACAAUGGGGGAAAGCCUGAUCAAGCAAUGCCGCGGGAGUGGUGAAGGCCGUAGGGUUGUAAAGCUCUUUGACCCGGGAUGAUAAUGACAGUACCGGGAGAAUAAGCUCCGGCUAACUCCGUG
rnacentral:rRNA from 1 species